ACGCGCCGUAGGAUGUGGCUGCGGCCGAUUAGGUAGACGGUGGGGUAACGGCCCACCGUGCCGAUAAUCGGUACGGGUUGUGAGAGCAAGAGCCCGGAGACGGAAUCUGAGACAAGAUUCCGGGCCCUACGGGGCGCAGCAGGCGCGAAACCUUUACACUGCACGCAAGUGCGAUAAGGGGACCCCAAGUGCGAGGGCAUAUAGUCCUCGCUUUUCCCGACUGUAAGGCGGUCGGGGAAUAAGAGCUGGGCAAGACCGGUGCCAGCCGCCGCGGUAAUACCGGCAGCUCAAGUGAUGACCGAUAUUAUUGGGCCUAAAGCGUCCGUAGCCGGCCACGAAGGUCUAUCGGGAAAUCCGCCAGCUUAACUGGCGGGCGUCCGGUGGAAACCACAUGGCUUGGGACCGGAAGGCUCGAGGGGUACGUCCGGGGUAGGAGUGAAAUCCCGUAAUCCUGGACGGACCACCGAUGGCGAAAGCACCUCGAGAAGACGGAUCCGACGGUGAGGGACGAAAGCUAGGGUCUCGAACCGGAUUAGAUACCCGGGUAGUCCUAGCUGUAAACGAUGCUCGCUAGGUGUGGCACAGGCUACGAGCCUGUGC
rnacentral:rRNA from 1 species